ACCAAAACGACCAAACCAAUCCUCUGCCUCCUCCCCUGCUCUCGCCUCGCCCGCACAACCCCACCCAAUCCCUCGCUCACUCGACCAGAUCCAAGACGGCAGCGGCGGCCGAGAGCGGACCGUGUGGGAGGAGGAGUUCGGCGAGCGCGAGCUGAAGGUGGUCGCUGUUCUCGCGGAUCUGCCAUCCAUCAUGCGGGUCAGCAGCCGCCAGCAGCAGCUGGCGCGGCCGGAGAUCCCCUCGUGGGGCCGACGCCGGCCGAGGAAGGCCCUGGCGGCACCGCCGGCCGAGAAGCCCGCGGCCGAUGACGAUAUGAGCGAGGGCAUCGCCAGCCCGGACACCCCGCUCGCCUUCUCCGAGGGCGACGACCACGACGAGGCGGCGGCGGCGGAGGACGAGGCCAAGGCCAGCGCGCAGGACAAGGUGAGCCGCCAGGCCACGAGAUCAGCGCCCGCCCGCCUCCCUCCGCCAAUUAGGGCCGCGGGGAGGUGGCUGCUCUCACUCCUGCCUAACGCUCGCCUCACGCGCGAAUAUGGACAAGGUUGUUAGAUGGAAGGACAAGGCGGCGGCGGUGGAGACGGGGAGUCGAUUAGGAAGGAAAAAAGAGUUUGUGCAACUGCUGCUCAGUGCGAAAAACAGAGGUAAAUAAAUUUAUUGUUCAGGUGGCGAGAUUUAGUCUCCCUUCUUUGUAUUCAACGGUGAACUACUGAAUGGUGUUGAUAAAUUCAUGGCAUGACCGCAUGAGUUGUCGAGGAGGACGUCAAAGUGUGGGAGGUUGCAGCCUUGCAGGAGAUUAGCCUUACCUUGGCAAAUUAGUUUGCGGCCCUAAAGCUAUCCUAGGUUGGCUUCACUUGGUAGUAACUAUGGAAACCUCAAGAAUGUUGUUGACGUCCUGAAGGCUUUUGAGUUGUAUUGUCAGGUCCCUCCGUUACUUAAAACCAACAAGGAACUUUAUCAUUUUUCCCUGACACUGUAAGCUUGAUAGAAUACACUGUAUGCCACCACAUGUUGUGUUAUUACUUUCAUCUGCUUUUCUUAAAAUGUGUGUGACGAUUGUCGCUAACAAUGUCGGAAAGAUUCCAACAGAAAAUAAAUUUCUCUAUAGUGAACCCUCUAAUCAAAAAGAAAAGAGAAUCACUUAUUCAUCAUUGAUUAAAUCUAUUUACGAGUUAUAAUUUUUUUGUUGAUAAUCUUCAGUGUAAACUCUAUUAUCUUUUGCUUCAUUGCCAGGUUUAUGCACUUUUCCCAUGGUAUAAUAUACGAAACAAAAUCAAUUUAUUGGAUCACAAUCAUAUCUGGAAGUAUCUGCACCACUGUAAGCGAUCUUGUAUAGUUCGAAUGUUACAUUUCACUUUAAUUGCUUUGAUGAAUGUGUGGACUAAGAAAAUUUUAGUUUCUCCUGUCAUCAAUAAAUGUUAUAAGAUUUAGAUUAUUGAAUUCAGUAAAAAUUCAAAACAUAUGAGAGCACUAACCAUGUUUCGGCUCCUUGACUGAGGAUGUACGAACUUGCAAAAAGCAUGAGCGUAGAAGCGAAAGAAGGAGAUUAUUGAAGGGGAUUAAGCUUCCAAGUGCGGCAACUAGGAACAUCUCGAUCGGUGAUUUGAAGUGUGUUCUUCAAUAGCACGGUGCAUGGAUACUUGCAUGUGUUCUCCCGAUGCAACACACGCUACUUAAUUAGUCAUAGAACUACAUACAAGCCUCUGAUGCCAAAAAGUUGUUAUUUAAGCACAUAUUUUACUGGAUUUUAUUCUGUAUGAAAAAACGUAAAAAAUGCCUCUACACACCAUGGCUGUCGGCAUUACGGCACUCCAAUCAGCAUCUCUUGGUAAUCUUUUAGGAUCACCAAUGUAUGUUUUAUGAUAGGUUUUAUCAGGCAUGAAGGUGGCAUGGGCCAGCAAGGAGUCUGGGGGUUCAGCAGGACAUCCUUGCCGGAGUAGUCGAGCAGAGGCUGACACUGGCCAAUAUGAGCAGCAUUGCCGCAGAUCGCCUCCAUGUGGGCUGCUGUUGCAAAGUCACUGUGCUGCACCUCAGCAAAUUCAGUAGGAGUAAUUCAUUCCCCACCAGAUUGUUUAUUAUUGAUCAUUGCUACUUCAUCUGUUUAUUCUCAUCUAACUAUUAUAUUUACGGACUUUUUGAAUGUUUGGCUAAUUCUUCUUUACCUUUUGGGGCUUUGCUAUGAAAGAAAGAUGAAGUUCAAAGAGUUCAAUUUAGAGUUAGUGUAGUUUCUUCCCCGGAAUAAAAGAGAGAGAAUUGCUGCGGUGUUUCAUGCCUAUUGGACUCAGUCUAUUACGCUCACUAAAUAUAUACAUGUAUGCUGCAUAGACAUGGUCACAUGGAUGAUUAACAUCUUUUUAGCAAAGGCAUGCUAAUUCAAUGAAAAAUUCUACUACACGUAUGACUAUGAACGUAGAUGUCCACUAUUGAUUUUUGAGGACUACUUUAGGAUGUGAUCAUUGGUGUUGCUUCACACCUUCUAGACAACAUAACAUUUGAUUGUUACUAAUGUGAAAAUCAACUUACCAUUUUUUUAUCACAGUGUGUUCAGCCACUAUCAGACUUUGGUGGUAUGCUCUGGCUGCAAAACUAUGCUCUUCCAACCUACCGGUGGAAAGGGGAGGCUCACCAAGGGAUGCCUUAUUAUGGAAAAAAUGAAGCCCUUCUUAAGAUUGUUUACUACUACUUAUCCUCGAUGUGGGGAGACCAACCAAAAGAGGUAUCCAUGAACACUAUAUGUCCUUACAUUCUAAUUUCAGUUGCUUUGGAGUUUUAGUUUUUUUUCUUCUAGCAUCGUAAUUUGCUGGGACCUAUGAGUCUUGAUUUUAAUAUUGCUGGGUAAUCAAUUUUAUGUCGCAUUUAUCUUCCAAGGAGUCAGGACUCAGGAGCAAGCAAAUUACAGUUUGUACACAACGAUUUGACAUUCAGCAUAUAUGCACUAGAGUUUCAGAAGGUCAAUAAUACCCAAUGCAUUGCCUUCCAUGACCUACCUUGGUCUGUUCUCAUGGAUGAUCUGCUAACUCAUUUUAAUUCGGUGCCUAGGUACUAUUUCCUUUGGCAUUGUGUUUUAUAAUAUUUAGUACCAUUGGUGCAGCUUAAUAUGCAAAGCCUGAGAUUUGUUCAAGUUGCCAAGCAAAUGUCUGUGCUAAUUCUCACAAGAAACUUAUGUUUCCACUGUUUUCGAAUACAAGUACACAAUAAAGUUUUCACUUCGGAAGCGCCAAAACCUUUUAUAGCUGCAUGUAAAUAUUUUCUUAGACAUACAGUAAUGCUUCAUUUUUAUCUUAUCAGAGAAAUAACAGAACAUUUAUC
rnacentral:rRNA from 1 species